GCUUGUCUCAAAGAUUAAGCCAUGCAUGUCUAAGUAUAAACGAUUAUACAGUGAAACUGCGAAUGGCUCAUUAUAUCAGUUAUAAUUUAUUUGAUAGUACCUUACUACUUGGAUAACUGUGGUAAUUCUAGAGCUAAUACAUGCAAAAAAACCCGACUUCUGGAAGGGUUGUAUUUAUUAGAUAAAAAACCAAUGUGGGCAACCACUCUUUGGUGAUUCAUAGUAACUUAUCGAAUCGCAUGGCCUUGCGCUGGCGAUGGUUCAUUCAAAUUUCUGCCCUAUCAACUGUCGACUGUGAUAUAGACGCUCACAGUGGUUUUGACGGGUAACGGGGAAUCAGGGUUCGAUUCCGGAGAGGGAGCCUUAAAAACGGCUACCACAUCCAAGGAAGGCAGCAGG
rnacentral:rRNA from 1 species